CUACUUUCUUGUUCAUGGGUGUUGAGAGUUUGUAAAGAUAUUAUUACAUUCGUUUCUACGACUUUCCAUCCUCAACAAAUCUAAAUAAAUAUCAUCAGAAAAUUAUGUGUUUGGGAUUCACAAAUCCUGAUAUAGUUUUUGUUUACGAUCCCAACAGGAAAAGAAAUCCAACACCACUCAUGUCCCCUAAAUUUGGCAUGCAAAAUAAAAUAGGAUCAUGUCAUGAUUACAUAUUAUGAUGGCAUGGUGGAGACUGUAGCAGUGCAUAAGUAGCCACAACACCAACCUCAUAUUAAAGGAAGAAAGGAUGUUCUAAGGGCUUCGACUACAACACAAACUAUAUCAUGAAUUAUUAGUUUAUCUUUGGCAUCAUCUAAUGUUGCUUCCCGUGCAUGGCACACCAUUUUUGUGUCACAGGCUUCCUUCCUUUGGCUGCUACAGAUGGAGAUCCUCACACUCUCGUCGGCUAUGUCGUGACACGAGGACGGGUGUGGAAUGUUCCACUCCAACUUUCCUGGAUGUUGGAGCUGUGGAGGGAGGGGUCGACCAUAAAAUGGGAUGCAAUGCAUCCACCCACAGAACCCUACACAGCAAAGCAUGAGGAGCACGGACAAACACAUGCACUCGAGUUCUUCUUUUGCCUGAGGAGAUCAAACCUUGUUGUCAUGUUGGCUUUGAGGUUCAAGCAUGGUCUCCAUUCAGACUUUCUCCUUCAUGUUUCCUUCUGGAAACGAUUUCUGCAACGGGAGCUCGGACACUAUUGCUUAGAUUGAGCUCAUCUUGGACUCUCGGUUCCUCGUUCAGGGAUUCAGCCACCGAGUUAGCAGUUCGUCCUCUCGGUUUCAGGGAUUCAGCUUCCGAUCCUAAUCUGGAAAGAACUCAUUUGACUUGGUAAGAUUCCACAUUGAGAAUCGUCGUCAUUGGUGGGAGUUGAAGACGAUGAUUUGUCCUUCCUGAGAGAAACUUUGGGACGAGGUAACAUCCAUGAACGCCAAAAGUUCAGAUUGGCAGACAGCUUGACCGAGGUGCUUCGAUGGA